UACGAAGGGGGCGAGCGUUGUUCGGAAUUACUGGGCGUAAAGGGCGCGUAGGCGGCCCCUUUUGUCGCGUGUGAAAGCCCCGGGCUCAACCUGGGAGGUGCGCGCGAAACGGGGGGGCUUGAGUUCGGGAGAGGAGCGUGGAAUUCCCAGUGUAGAGGUGAAAUUCGUAGAUAUCAGGAGGAACACCGGUGGCGAAGGCGGGUCUCUGGGCCGUAACUGACGCUGAGGAGCGAAAGCGUGGGGAGCGAACAGG
rnacentral:rRNA from 1 species